rnacentral:ncRNA from 1 species
AACCUGGUUGAUCUUGCCAGUAGUCAUAUGCUUGUCUCACAGAUUAAGCCAUGCAAGUGAAAGUACAUAUGUAAAUAAUAUAUUGAAACUGCGAACGGCUCAUUAAAACAGUUAUAAUCUACUUGAUGUUUUUAAUAUAAGGAUAACUACGGAAAAUCUGUAGCUAAUACUUGUGAAAAUACCUUUUGAUAUAUACAUAUGUAUGUAUCAUUAAGGUAUGUAUUUGUUAGAUAUAAGAAUAAAAUAAAUAUAAUUGAAUUAUAACAAAGAAGAAACACAUAAAAUAUGUGUAUUAUCAAUCGAGUAUCUGACCUAUCAGCUUUUGAUGUUAGGGUAUUGACCUAACAUGGCUAUGACGGGUAACGGGGAAUUAGAGUUCGAUUCCGGAGAGGGAGCCUGAGAAAUAGCUACCACAUCUAAGGAAGGCAGCAGGCGCGUAAAUUACCCAAUUCUAAAAAAGAGAGGUAGUGACAAGAAAUAACAAU